GUUUUUAAUUAUGACUCAGAAGAAUCAUAUCAUUUCAUCUCCUUGUGUUAUCUUCUCUGAACAUCAAGGAGAUAUUCAUCUGUGCUCUGAAACAUGACUGACUGGAAACCAGGUGGAUAAAUUCAUUUUGUCUUCCUGUUCUUAUGCAAACUAAAGAACAUGAAGCACAAAGUGAAACAAGCUAUCCAAGAAAACAAGGCUAGAAAAUGAUGGAGCCAGGCUUUCUGCUAGUGUCACCUUAUUAAAAGUCCAAUGAUGGCCGGUGCCGCGGCUCAAUUGUGACUGUCAUAUGUUUGCAUGAAAAUCAUUUAUGAUUUUAAUGCACCAUACUAUGUGGAUUGAAUUAAAUUUACCCUAACAGAAAUUUAUUAUGAGGCUGGUGCCACGGCUCAAUAGGCUAAUCCUCCGCCUAGCGGCGCUGGCACACUGGGUUCUAGUCCCGGUCAGGGUGCCGGAUUCUGUCCCGGUUGCCCCUCUUCCAGGCCAGUUCUCUGCUGUGGCCAGGGAGUGAAGUGGAGGAUGACCCAAGUGCUUGGGCCCUGCACCCCAUGGGAGACCAGGAGAAGCACCUGGCUCCUGCCUUCGAAUCAGCGCAGUAUGCCGGCCGCAGCAUGCCAGCCGUGGUGGCCAUUGGAGGGUGAACCAAUGGCAAAAGGAAGACCUUUCUCUCUGUCUCUCUCUCACUAUCCACUCUGCCUGUCAAAAAGAAAAAAAAAAAAAAAAAGAAAGUCCAAUGAGUCAAGAGUCGUUUAGUCAUUUUGAUAAAUGUCUAUGUUUCUCUGGAUAAAUAUCUUGAAUAUUAAAAAAAGAAACAAGGGCUGGCAUUAUGGCACAGUUGGUUAAGCUAUAGCUUGACAACCAAGAAUCCCUAUCAGAGCACCUGUUGGAGUCCCAACUUCUCAUCCAGCUCCUGCCAACGCACUUGAGAAGGCAGCGGAAGAUGGCCAAGUGCUUGGGUCUAUGCCUCCCAUGUGGGAGACCCAGAUGGAGCUCCUGACUUUGCUCUGGCCCAGACCUGGCCUUUCUAGCAUCUGCGGAAUCAACCAGCAGGUGAGAGAUCCUUCUGUCCUUGUGUGAUUGUGUGUCUGUCUCUCUGCCUCUCCUCUCCCACUACAGUUGCUCUACCUUUCAAAUAAAUACAUAAAUGAAUCUGUAAAAAAAAUAAGAAAGAAGAAAGCACUAACUACAAAGACCAUGAGCUACUGAGUGUAGAGAGCGUGAAUUGGGAAUAUUUUAGUAUAAGGAAUUUUCAUCCCUAGGAGUGAUCCCUUUAGGCAUAGUUAGUAAACGUCCAUGCCCACGUCCGUGAUGUUUUCCUGACUCAAGGCUGCAGAAACAGCAGUGUUAUUGGAGAGUAGCUGAGCUAUGAGGACCACAUCUUCUAUCACAGCCAUCCCAGGUUCAACAAAUAAAUCUCUCAAUCUCUCUCUCUCUCUCUCAUACAUAUAUAAAUACAAUUUUUAAUUAAAUAUGAUGUAAGGCAUUGGCAUUUAGCCUAGCAGUUAAGAUACAUACUUCCUAUGUCAGAGUGUCGGGGUUUAAAUCCAAGUUCCUGACUGCACCUUCCCGCUAACGAAGAUACUGGGGAACAGCAAUGAUGGCUCAGGUGACUGGGUCCCUGCCACCCACACGGGAGACCUGGACUGAGUUCCCAGAUCAUGGUUAUGGUCCUGGCCCAGAUCAGGACAUUUCAGGCAUUUAGGAAGUAAACUAGCAAAUGGGAGCUCUCUUCUCUCUUCCCUCUCCCUCUCCUCUCUCUUUUCUUCUCCCUCCCUCCUGCCUCUCUCUAUCAUAAAUGACUCAAUACAUAAAAUUCUUAAAAUCAUGAAUAAAAAUGUAGAAAAAUAUGUAAGAAAUGACAAAACAACAUGAAUGAGAAUGAUGAGAAAUCAUAAGUGAUAAAUACUUAGGGCAGAAUUAAAAAUAUUAGAAAAAUCACUUAACAUAUGACAAUUUAACUACAAGAAACACAGAAUAGAAUGACUGUUGUAAUUUAGCAGAAUUAAAGAACAAUUUUGAACAAAAACAAUAAAGAGAUUUAAAAAAAGAAGUCAAUGAAAAGUCACAGCUAUUACAUAUAGAUAAAGAAGAACCAAAAUGUAGUGUACAUUCUGAAAAAGAAAAAUAAUGCAAGGGGAAAAGAACUAACACAGAAAUAACAAUAAUAAAAUUCUAUAAUUUAAGGAAAUUUUAUGUUAAAAAAACAAACUCAUGCUGAAUAAAGAACACUAGGAAUCCAGGAUCUUGACACAGAAUAAUCAAUCCCAAGACAUGUCUAAUACAAUUACUGAUUUUCUUUAAAAAAGGUAAA